rnacentral:rRNA from 1 species
UACGUAGGGGGCUAGCGUUGUUCGGAUUUACUGGGCGUAAAGCGCGUGUAGGCGGGUCGUUAAGUUGGGGGUGAAAUCCCGAGGCUCAACCUCGGAACUGCCUUCAAAACUGGCGACCUGGACUCAAGUAGAGGCAAGUGGAAUUGCGAGUGUAGAGGUGAAAUUCGUAGAUAUUCGCAGGAACACCAGUGGCGAAGGCGACUUGCUGGACUUGUAGUGACGCUGAGACGCGAAAGCGUGGGGAGCAAACAGG